GCCAGUUUGGCCGAGUGGUUAAGGCGGUGGUCUUAAGUUUCCGUUGGAAUUGCUUAUCACACCAUUAUCGAGAGAUUCACAGGUUCGAACCCUGUAGCUGGCA
rfam:Sporothrix schenckii ATCC 58251 unplaced genomic scaffold supercont1.2, whole genome shotgun sequence.